rnacentral:misc_RNA from 1 species
UUUUUUCUUUUUUUUUUCUAUUUUAAUUUAUCUAAACACCAGAACACAGAAACUGCCAUUGCUUAACAUAUCCAGCUUCAUUUGAAGUCAAACACCUAAAAACUCCAUUUUUGAAACAUUAGACUUAUACUAUCCUCUAUAGAUUACCAAUCAACCAAACUCACAAUUCAAAUAUCUCCUUUACUUUCACAGAUUUAGGUUCUAGCAACCUACUUCUUAAGAUGUUCAUCCACGUUGGCCUUCAAACCUGUAUUUUUCAAACUCCUACAACACUAAAAGCUGCAAACAUCUUCAAAACCCAAACCUGAAAUAUUCAUUUUCUCUAAUUCCAUCCCACCAAAAGCAGCCCUCUAUGCCCUUCAUUGCAUUGCCAUGUAAUUCUGUAGUAUUAUACUCUCAAGGAAGAGGUUACAAGCAAUGUACAACAAGUUUGAAAAGGAGAGUCGCAUUAACUUGAUAAUCCUAUUGAUUUGAGUCUGCUCCAACAUUUGCAAAGGAAGACUCCAUCAUAAUAAAAAACAACACAAGGAAUAAUGAUUCCAUCAUUUAGAUCAGAUUUUAACUCGC